GGUGAAAUGGUGUCCAAGUAUCCCUCAUUGUGGGAAUGCUAUACGAGUAGAGACCGAUGAGUUCUGUGAAGUAGAAUGUUCAUGUGGUUUACAGUUCUGUUUCAGUUGCUUAUCAGAAGCACAUUCACCUUGUUCUUGCUGGAUGUGGGAACUUUGGACCAAGAAGUGCCGAGACGAAUCCGAGACUGUUAACUGGAUUACAGUUCACACUAAGCCUUGUCCAAAGUGUCAUAAGCCGGUCGAGAAGAAUGGAGGUUG
rnacentral:misc_RNA from 1 species